UAAGAAUCUUCCGCAAUGGGCGAAAGCCUGACGGAGCGACGCCGCGUGGACGAUGAAGGCCGUGAGGUUGUAAAGUCCUUUUCGGGGGGGGGAAUGAGGUCCGCAGGGAAUGGCGGGCCGAUGACGUGAACCCCGGAAUAAGCCCCGGCUAACUACGUGCCAGCAGCCGCGGUAACACGUAGGGGGCGAGCGUUGUUCGGAAUCAUUGGGCGUAAAGGGCGCGCAGGCGGCGAGGCAAGUCCGGUGUGAAAGUGCUCGGCUCAACCGAGUGAUGCGCUGGAAACUGCCCUGCUUGAGUACAGGAGGGGACGUCGGAAUUCCAGGUGUAGGGGUGAAAUCUGUAGAUAUCUGGAAGAACACCGGUGGCGAAGGCGGACGUCUGGCCAUGUACUGACGCUGAGGCGCGAAGGUGCGGGGAGCGAACA
rnacentral:rRNA from 1 species